GAGACCCUGAAAGGAAGCACUAAAGAAAUGAAGACAGAGGAAUACCAGGAGAGAAAGGAGGUCCAGUUAGACCUAAAGGUGGGCAAGAAGAAGAAGAAGAGGAGUUUGGAUGCUUCAUCUCUGCUGAGACCCAGUGCCUGGCACUGAAGGUGCUCAGGAAAUACCUUCUGAAUGAUCGGAAGCCCCUGCCAUCUGCUAAACUGGAUCUAUGAUGACAGAAGCCGAGGAAUGUGAGGUUCAUCUAGAGAGUUCUUGUGAAUUUUCCAAGGGAGGCACCUGUUGAAUUCAGGCAUCGGCAUGUGACUUGAUUUGGUCAAUGAAAUGUGAGAGAAGUGACAUCCACUUUGAGGCAGGCACUUUCCGAGUUGCCCCGACGGCCACUCUCCAUACUGCUGCCAGAAGAACCUUGAAAUAUCGCUCUUUUUAAU
rnacentral:lncRNA from 10 species